AGACGAACCGUCCAAACGUUAUUCGGAAUCACUGGGCUUAAAGGGUGCGUAGGCGGCGCGGAAAGUUGGGUGUGAAAUACCUCGGCUCAACCGAGGAACUGCGCCCAAAACUUCCGUGCUCGAGGGAGAUAGAGGUGAGCGGAACUUAGGGUGGAGCGGUGAAAUGCGUUGAUAUCCUAAGGAACACCGGUGGCGAAAGCGGCUCACUGGAUCUCUUCUGACGCUGAGGCACGAAAGCUAGGGUAGCGAACGGGAUUAGAAACCCCAGUAGUCC
rnacentral:rRNA from 1 species